CGACCUGAGCUCAGGCAAGAUUACCCGCUGAACUUAA
rnacentral:rRNA from 1 species